rnacentral:snRNA from 1 species
GUACUUAACCUGGCAGGGGAGAUACUACGAUCACGAAGGUGGUUUUACCAGGACGAGGCUUAUCCAUUGAACUCUGGAUGUGCUGACCCCUGCGAUUUCCCCAAAUGUGGGAAACUCAACUGCAUAAUUUGUGGUAGUGGGGGACUGCGUUCGCGCUCUCCCCUA